UUCAGCCAAAAAAUCCAUAUAUCAUGAAGUGAGCUACAAGGAUAUUUUUAGUUAAAUGGAAACUAGUCAUAGGCCCUUAUUAAAAAUCCAGACUUGAAUUGUAGUUCUGAUUCAAAUUCUAUGAUGUGUGCAGCCAAAAUCCUGGAUCUAAACAGCUCUGGUUUUAGGAGUUCAAAAUUUAAAUUUUCCUAAUUUUUGAGGGAUUGUGGGGAAGGAGAAAGAUGAUUUUGUUUAUACUGUCACAACCAAAUUAAGUACUGCCCAUGCCACAAGCAAGAAAUACAUUAAUCAAAAACAGUUUUAGUCCACACUGAAGCCAACUAAGGGUUAAAGAAAAAUCCUUGUUGGUAACAGUUUUUUUUUUUUUACUGUGCAUGCUAACAAAAGAGAUUUAUGGCUGCGUCACAACCAAGAAAUGAAACUUCUAAAGAAACGAAACUUAACCCAUGAUUUAUGAUUGGUCAGGCCGAAAAGGGGUAGCCCUGCUACAAAUCCCUAGAGAUAAUUGACGAUUCUAAUUAAAUUUAUGACGUGGCGAAAAACAAUUGGCUAUCAUACAAACAAAACCCUGCUGCAUUUCCGCCAAAGUCGAAGACAACUCUGUCCACGCCUUAGAGUAAAUCUGACAAUUUGAUCAGUUGUCAGCGUCUUCCCGCCGCAACCUCCCUGGCGUACCCUUGACCCGCAUGCCCGAUAAGCCUGAACCCGCCAACCGCCGGACCGUAUAUAUGUCUGCAGACUGACCGAACGAACUCUAAGCUGUAACUAACUAAGUAUAUCUGACCUCCGUCUUUCACCACCUUGACGGCAAGUCCAGGCAUAAAAAUCAGCUACUGACUCCUGUGACCAACUACCUCCUUCGCAAUCCACUGAGUCACGCUACUGUGCAUAUUGUAAAUAGGGAGAUGCAAGAACUACCAACAGCACAUUAUCUGAACUGUAAAACAAUAAGGUCAAGAUUGUAGCCCCAUUGGACAUGGUGUUCAUCAGUGGUCAGGCAAACCAGGACUGAACCAACAUAACCCCGCUCAUCCUGAAGAGGCAGCUAUUUGGGGCCACUACUGCUUGGGCCACUGCCAUUCCAGCACCCACUUGCCUCAAUGCCACCGCUGCUGCCUCUGUCACCACCAAUGCAUCUGCUGCUGCCAUUACUAAUGUCCCCGCUUCUACCACCUUUGCUGCCACUGCCUCUGCCACCACUUGUCACACGGAUCUGACCUGCAGGAAGCCCCAUAGUACAGAUCAGGCCCAGGGCAUUUCUCCGAGCUGCCUUGUUUAUUCUGUCAUAGUAGGACACCUUCCCAUGCCGUUCUGCAAAGACCUUUUAGGAUAUCAUUUGAAGAACAGGAAGCAAACAGACCAGGCCAACCACAAGCCUUGUCAAACAGUUGUAUAUUCUGGCCUUUUGAGAUCCUCAUCAAUAUAUACUCAAGGAUCAAAAUGCUUUUUAACCUCAACUAAGAUAUCUUUCAAGAGCAUCUCUUCUAUACCGGCUGAAUGACUGCUGAACAACUCAGCAAGAUAAGAAAAAGGAAGAAAAAGGACAAGAGAAGAUAUACUGAUCCAGGCUGCCCAGUGAGACUCAAGAAUGGUGGAAGUAUAUGCAUGAGCAAAGGCAUAAAAAAUGAUAGAAAAAAAAGAGAGGAAUUGAGAGAUGCAACAGGAUUUCUUGCAGCAGUAAAAAAAACAAAACAAAAAAACAAAAACAAAAAAAACAGACUUGGAUUUUAGAGUGCAUUAUUGAUCAGAGCAUGCGAGGCCAGCAAACUAGUAGCCACUAGACAGCGUAAAGACAGUUCCUUUUGGAUAUAAUUUUUCCCUUCCUCCAGGUCUCCAGUCUUCCUAGCGUGAGUAUCUCUGGCAUUCAACUCCACUGGAUAAUAUGAAGCAACGCUAUGAAUACAUAGCAGUAUUCCCACAAUACUGUCUGAUGUACUAUAUUGUAAGACAUAUUUGCAAAUUAUUGAGUUUCUGUUGUUAUGUAUUGUACAAUAUUAUCACUCCUAGCAGUGAAUUGUGAUGAUUUGGGGUAAAAUUCCCUGUUCCAUCCCAUACUCAAUUUUUUUUUGUACCACUGUUGUGCAUUACUGUCCUCCUUAAGGCUACUUUUUGUACUUUGUGUUUUUGUAAGUGGUAUUAAUUCCUAGCUUGUGAAAAAUCAGAUAUUUUAAUCUACAGUACAAAAAUGAAAAUUUCCAAAAUAAAUACCUUUUCUGCCUCCAAAAAUACAUUUAAUCAACCAAUUAUUGCACAUGCAGUACCACAAAGUAACAUAUAAUCUGGCUAUUGCAGACUGUCAAAGCAUGCCCUUAAGAUUUCCACAACCGCACAGCUCAUGUAGUAUCUCUGUCUCAGGUCGCUCAAAGUCAGCAAACAGCAGACACACCUUGCUCCUCUACUUUGCCAACUGUGUGGUCUCACAGAUGGUAUGUAAAAUACAACAUGCAGCAAUAACCUCAGAUUUUUUUCCUCACUAAGAUCCAGACUUUUUAUGAGAUAUCCCUACCCACCCCUCAGUCUUCAAAAGGCAUACUCCACCAUUAUCUUGUAUUAGCUCAGCUAAUAGUUUAAAUGUCCUUCCAACUGUCCCUACUUUAUGUCCAGAUGCUAUAGUUCUGCAAAAGGAUCCCUAAUCCCAUCUUUAACCUGGACAAAGCAGUUCAACUAGUAGGUAUAGCUUCCAUAUUUAUGGCAGUAAGAUACGAUCAGAAGAAAAAUGUAUACAACCUCCCCACCUCCCCACGAAAACAAAGCAAUUAUUGGGUAGAACAGAAGGAUUUAUGGGAAUUUUACCCCAAACACCCCAACUUCACUGAGAAGAGUGAUUUGUAUCAUAUAAAACAUGAAAGCAACCCACUAUACGCUUCCAUAACAUAGUACAUCUGACACUGUCAUGGGGAGACUAUGAUACCCACCCACAGUGCCACACACUCUUUGCUGAUACACUUUGUUAUGAGGAAAUGUUGAACCAGUCAAGACAAUCAAAUGUGGAUGCUCUAUGCCAAAAAAGCUGACCAGGAGACAUAGAGAACAGUUGUUCACCUUCCUCUUUAUUCAACCACUCUUUUCAAAUCCCUGUUUUGUUAAAUUAUUGAUACAUUCCCAUCACUUUUCAUUGCUUGGUUUGUAUCACUGAUUCUGGAAGCAUGCCAAUGAAUCAUACUGCUUAGUGAACACACAAGCAAACAAAGAGUUAUCAUUGUGUAGAAGUUAUUCUAUUCUAAGAAAAACAAUUCACCCAAUUACCUAAUGCCUAAAAGAAAUGUCUAAGGAGAUUUUCAUACAUAAACUUCUAACGGACAGGGAUUUCAAACUGUCAAGAUGUCACUUGAGGAAAAUCCAGUGUUUUAUAGAGAAGGUAUAUACUGGCAUUUAGCAUUUGGAAUUGAUGUGGCAGGAAAGUGAAUAAAGAAAUAUCUGCCACAUUUCCAUUCAAAGACUAAUCACAAUCUAAUAUGUUAGUAACUUCUUUACUAACAUGGAAUGGUAAAGUGUUGAGACUAAACUUUUGUACAUUUGAAUUCAGUUCUGCAAACUGUACAAUAUGUUUCAAAAGGUCAGCACAAACAAUAAUGUCUUGUAACUCAGUCUUCUGGAUACAACCCUCUUCUAGAUACAACCCAGCUAGACUAUUUUAUCAAAUAUAGUAAUGUGCCGCAUUGACCCGUUACCUUUGUGUGUUUUCUCUUUCAUUUAAUGACUUACAUUUAUCUUGCCCCUCUGUUUUGGAUUUGCGCCCAUUAUCAGGAACUGAACACCAAGAAAGGAGAUAAUAAAAAGAAAGGCCCAUUCACUACUUUCUAGAUAAGCUCAGUUUACAUAAGCAAGGCCUAACAGGAAAGGUCAAGACUUCCAUCAAAAUUCUGUAGAACUAAAGUAAAAAGUAGCAAUGCCAUGGCAGCUGUUC